ACCUAGAGCAAAGGCAGUUUCUUCUUAUCCUUAGCUUUUUUUCCAGUAGUGACUAAAGCCUUGUCAAGAUUGGGCCUGUGUUGUACCAAAGUUCUGUGAGUACACAGAACAGAAGUGAUCCCUGUCCUAAAGAACCUGUCCUCUGAAUAGACGGGACGGCAUGAGGAAAGGGACAUUUAGAAGGCCUGUAGCCAGGAGUGCGGGUCCCGUUUCAGCCUUGUUUUCCUGCUCCUGUAGAAGGAAUCGAAGAUGAGAGUAGGGCCACACGUCAUUCUUCUACAGCACUGAGGUUUUUACCCUUCAUUUGAAUAUCACUGAAGUACAGAGCACUCAAAAUGAUAUAUACAAUUCUCUUGCAAGAUGGUUUUGCUAAACAUGCCUGGAUUCUGCUGGAAGUACUUCUUGUAUCCUGACUCUUGGAUACGUGGCAAAUGCAGUAAGUCAACCUAUUUUCUAAUUCUAGUUUAUUUAUAUUUUGAGAUAUAUUUCAAACUGGUGAUUACAGCAGGUGUUACAUGAUUGUUGUAUUGCCUCCUUAUUGCUUGUAAUUUCACUGGAUAUUUUAAAAUAAUUUUAGGAAGAUAAUGAUAUUUUCAGAAGUAGACAGCCUUAUAAGUAGAACUUGAAAAUUAGAUGUGAAAUCUUUUGUUUUACAUUUUAAAGGUCAACAAGAAUGCAUAAUAUGUAAUCUGUUUGCUAAGUUACCAUUCAGUGGGCACUGAUUAUCAGGACAAUUAAUUACCUGAUGAUAAUUUAAAAGGAAAAUAUUACUUCAGAAUAAAUACUGAAUUUGUCUUGGAAAUAGUUUUGAA
rnacentral:lncRNA from 1 species